UACGUAGGUGGCAAGCGUUGUCCGGAUUUACUGGGUGUAAAGGGCGUGUAGGCGGGACUGCAAGUCAGAUGUGAAAGCUAUGGGCUUAACCCAUAGCCUGCAUUUGAAACUGUAGUUCUUGAGUGAUGGAGAGGCAGGCGGAAUUCCUAGUGUAGCGGUGAAAUGCGUAGAUAUUAGGAGGAACACCAGUGGCGAAGGCGGCCUGCUGGACAUUAACUGACGCUGAGGCGCGAAAGCGUGGGGAGCAAACAGG
rnacentral:rRNA from 1 species